GAAAUGCGAUAAGUAAUGUGAAUUGCAGAAUUCAGUGAAUCAUCGAAUCUUUGAACGCAUCUUGCGCUCCUUGGUAUUCCUUGGAGCAUGCCUGUUUGAGUAUCAUGAAAUCUUCAAAGUAAAUCUUUUGUUAACUCAAUUGGUUUCUACUUUGGUAUUGGAGGUCUUUGCAGCUUCACACCUGCUCCUCUUUGUUCAUUAGCUGGAUCUCAGUGUUAUGCUUGGUUCCACUCGGCGUGAUAAGUUAUCUAUCGCUGAGGACACUGUAAAAGGUGGCCAAGGUAAAUUCAGAUGAACCGCUUCUAAUAGUCCAUUGACUUGGACAAUACUUUUAUGAUCUGAUCUCAAAUCAGGUAGGACUACCCGCUGAACUUAAGC
rnacentral:misc_RNA from 1 species